rnacentral:rRNA from 1 species
UACGGAGGGUGCAAGCGUUAAUCGGAAUUACUGGGCGUAAAGGGUGCGUAGGCGGUUCGUUAAGUCCGUUGUGAAAGCCCCGAGCUCAACUUGGGAAUUGCAGUGGAUACUGGCGAGCUAGAGUGCGGUAGAGGAAGGUGGAAUUCCCGGUGUAGCGGUGAAAUGCGUAGAGAUCGGGAGGAACACCAGUGGCGAAGGCGACCUUCUGGACCAGCACUGACACUCAAGCACGAAAGCGUGGGGAGCAAACAGG